UUAUAGAAGUCGUAGUGACCUGCGAGGAUCAUUAAAGAGUAAGGGUGCUCAGCGCCCGACCUCCAACCCUCUGUUGUUAAAACUACCUUGUUGCUUUGGCGGGACCGCUCGGUCUCGAGCCGCUGGGGAUUCGUCCCAGGCGAGCGCCCGCCAGAGUUAAACCAAACUCUUGUUAUAUAAACCGGUCGUCUGAGUUAAAAUUUUGAAUAAAUCAAAACUUUCAACAACGGAUCUCUUGGUUCUCGCAUCGAUGAAGAACGCAGCGAAAUGCGAUAAGUAAUGUGAAUUGCAGAAUUCAGUGAAUCAUCGAAUCUUUGAACGCACAUUGCGCCCCUUGGUAUUCCGAGGGGCAUGCCUGUUCGAGCGUCAUUACACCACUCAAGCUAUGCUUGGUAUUGGGCGUCCGUCCCUUCGGGGGCGCGCCUUAAAGACCUCGGCGAGGCCUCACCGGCUUUAGGCGUAGUAGAAUUUAUUCGAACGUCUGUCAAUGGAGAGGACUUCUGCCGACUGAAACCUUUUAAAUUUUUCUAGGUUGACCUCGGAUCAGGUAGGGAUACCCGCUGAACUUAAGCAUAUCAAUAAGCGGAGGAA
rnacentral:rRNA from 1 species